GGCCCUCAUUAAGUCUGCAGUCAAAAUACUGGUCAGGCUACAGUCACCUGAAGCCUUGACUGGAGCUGGAGGACCUGUUUCAAGAUGGCUCAUGCACGAUGUGCUAAUUGACAGUGACAGAGUUCAGCUCCUCUCCACAGUGUUUUUCAGAUCUCAGAAAGGAAACUCAUUCUAUACAGCUGAACCAGCUUACACUCUAGCCGGUGUGAAAUGACUUCUUCGGAAUCAGUAGACCAAAUCCUGUUUACCGUGGAAGAAAAAAAAAGAAAGAAAGAAAGAAAGAAAAA